rnacentral:lncRNA from 1 species
UCCACUGCUGGUGAGGAAGGAAGACGGAGGCCAAUGAUUCUAACUCCAUAAAACAGCAAAAACUCUGAAUAAGCACAAGGUAUGUUCCCUACGACUAUUGAGUAGAUGUAAGACUAGAACCUAAAUUACAUUGCUGUUAUCUUUUCCCAAAUUCAGAACAGAGAACUUUAGAAUUUUAAAUUUUCAUGUCCUUUUGCAACUUCUUAAGAGCCACCUUAAAAAAAAUCUCUUUUAUGUGCUCAGGCAAAGGAGGGCAGGUAGUGAGUGGUGAAAGUGGAUGAGCCACAGGCCUCAGGGAAAGGGGGCCUGCUGGC